GAUGAAGAACGUAGCGAAAUGCGAUAAGUAAUGUGAAUUGCAGAAUUCAGUGAAUCAUCGAAUCUUUGAACGCACCUUGCACCCUUUGGCAUUCCGAAGGGUAUGCUCGUUUGAGUGUCAUUGUACUCUCACACUUCCGAUCUUUCGAUUGGGAGCGGUGGACUUGGGUGUUGCUGCUUUACUGUGGCUCACCUCAAAUGGAGUAGUGCAACUCUUGGUUGGACAUAGUACGGCGUGAUAAGUGUCUUCGCCGGCACCUCAUAGAGGGUGGCUGAUCAGGAGCUCUGUGCUCCAAACCGUCUUCGGACAACCUCUGACAACUUGACCUCAAAUCGAGUAGGACCACCCGCUGAACUUAAGCAUAUCAAUAAGCGGAGGA
rnacentral:misc_RNA from 1 species